rnacentral:tRNA from 1 species
GGUGAGGUGGCUCAGUGGUUAAGAGCACUGACUGCUCUUCCAGAGGUCCUGAGUUCAAUUCCCAGCAACCA